GGUCAGCGACUUAUAUUCUGUAGCAAGGUUAACCGAAUAGGGGAGCCGGAGGGAAACCGAGUCUUAAUUGGGCGUUAAGUUGCAGGGUAUAGACCCGAAACCCGGUGAUCUAGCCAUGGGCAGGUUGAAGGUUGGGUAACACUAACUGGAGGACCGAACCGACUAAUGUUGAAAAAUUAGCGGAUGACCUGUGGCUGGGGGUGAAAGGCCAAUCAAACCGGGAGAUAGCUGGUUCUCCCCGAAAGCUAUUUAGGUAGCGCCUCGUGAAUUCAUCUCCGGGGGUAGAGCACUGUUUCGGCUAGGGGGCCAUCCCGGCUUACCAACCCGAUGCAAACUGCGAAUACCGGAGAAUGUUAUCACGGGAGACACACGGCGGGUGCUAACGUCCGUCGUGAAGAGGGAAACAACCCAGACCGCCAGCUAAGGUCCCAAAGUCAUGGUUAAGUGGGAAACGAUGUGGGAAGGCCCAGACAGCCAGGAUGUUGGCUUAGAAGCAGCCAUCAUUUAAAGAAAGCGUAAUAGCUCACUGGUCGAGUCGGCCUGCGCGGAAGAUGUAACGGGGCUAAACCAUG
rnacentral:rRNA from 1 species